UACGUAGGUGGCAAGCGUUGUCCGGAUUUACUGGGUGUAAAGGGCGUGUAGCCGGGCCGGCAAGUCAGAUGUGAAAUCCCAAGGCUCAACCUUGGAACUGCAUUUGAAACUGUUAUUCUAGAGUAUGGGAGAGGUAGGUGGAAUUCUUGGUGUAGGGGUAAAAUCCGUAGAGAUCAAGAGGAAUACUCAUUGCGAAGGCGACCUGCUAGAACAUAACUGACGCUGAUGCGCGAAAGCGUGGGGAGCAAACAGG
rnacentral:rRNA from 1 species